rnacentral:rRNA from 1 species
UUUAAAGAGAGUUUGAUCCUGGCUCAGGACGAACGCUGGCGGCGUGCCUAAUACAUGCAAGUCGAACGAACGGAGGAAGAGCUUGCUCUUCCAAAGUUAGUGGCGGACGGGUGAGUAACACGUGGGCAACCUGCCUGUAAGUUGGGGAUAACUCCGGGAAACCGGGGCUAAUACCGAAUAAUAAGUGGUGGCGCAUGCCACGGCUUUGAAAGAUGGUUUCGGCUAUCGCUUACAGAUGGGCCCGCGGUGCAUUAGCUAGUUGGUAGGGUAAUGGCCUACCAAGGCAACGAUGCAUAGCCGACCUGAGAGGGUGAUCGGCCACACUGGGACUGAGACACGGCCCAGACUCCUACGGGAGGCAGCAGUAGGGAAUCUUCCGCAAUGGACGAAAGUCUGACGGAGCAACGCCGCGUGUAUGAAGAAGGUUUUCGGAUCGUAAAGUACUGUUGUUAGAGAAGAACAAGGA